rnacentral:lncRNA from 1 species
UGAGAAAUAGUUAUACGUAAUAUCUUUUGCAGAUGACUUUUUGAAAAGAAAUCUAUGGACAAAGAAGCUGUUUUUCAACCUUUGCUGACAACUAAAGAGCAAUGAAUGUAACUCCCAGAUGUUUACCUUACCUAUUGGAAGAGAGAGCAAGGGGGAUUACGUAGCAGUUGAUGACAGCGGUUGUUUUUGCAUGUUCUGGAAGCAAAGGAGAAUUAUAUAUUCCGUCUGAAUUGGAUAUCCAAAUCAUAUCCUCUUUGGAAGAUGUUUUGGAAAUUUCAGAUCUAAAUCUGAAUUCGCUGUAUCAUCAAGGAUUUAUACAAGUCAAUACCAAAAUCCGGGCUGCAACAAAGGCACAAGAAGGCAGCCAACACCACUAAGCAGAAUCCCAAUGUAACCUGGAAAGAUUUUUUCCUGUCUUCACAUUUCUGUUUAUUUUCUGUUUAUUCA